UGCUUGGGGAUGUGGGAUGUGGCUAGUAGGCUGAAUGGGAUGUUAGGAGGGUGAGGAGGGGCCCCCCAGCCUGGAGUACAUCCAAGCCAAGGAUCUGUUCCCCCCCAAGGAACUAGUGAAGGAGGAAGAGAAUCUUCAGGUCCCCUUCACAGUGCUGCAGGGUGAGGGAGUAGAGUUCCUGGGCCGGGCAGCCGAUGCCCUCAUUGCCAUCUCUAACUACCGGCUGCAUAUCAAAUUCAAGGACUCUGUCAUCAACGUCCCCCUCCGGAUGAUUGACAGUGUGGAGAGCCGUGAUAUGUUCCAGUUGCACAUUUCCU
rnacentral:lncRNA from 1 species